UCCGGUUCAUCACCGGCGGUCUCCUUAGAGUCCCCAACUUAACUUGCUGGCAACUAAGGACAAGGGUUGCGCUCGUUACGGGACUUAACCCAACAUCUCACAACACGAGCUGACGACAGCCAUGCAGCACCUGUCUCUGCGUUCCUUUCGGCACUCCAACCUCUUAAGUCGGAUUCGCAGGAUGUCAAGGGUAGGUAAGGUUCUUCGCGUUGCGUCGAAUUAAACCACAUGCUCCACCGCUUGUGCGGGCCCCCGUCAAUUCCUUUGAGUUUCAACCUUGCGGCCGUACUUCCCAGGCGGAGAACUUAUCGCGUUAGCUUCGAUACUGAUGGGUUCCCCCACCAACAUCUAGUUCUCAUCGUUUAUGGCGUGGACUAC
rnacentral:misc_RNA from 1 species